rnacentral:tRNA from 1 species
GCAUUGGCGGUUCAGUGGUAGAAUUCUGGCCUCCCAUGCAGGAGACAUGGGUUCGAUUCCUAGCCAGUGCA